rnacentral:rRNA from 1 species
CCUACGGGAGGCAGCAGUGAGGAAUAUUGGUCAAUGGGCGGAAGCCUGAACCAGCCAAGUAGCGUGCGGGAUGAAGGCCCUACGGGUCGUAAACCUCUUUUGACGGGGAGAACAACCCUCACGUGUCGGGGUGUGACAGUACCCGGCGAAAAAGGAUCGGCUAACUCCGUGCCAGCAGCCGCGGUAAUACGGAGGGUGCGAGCGUUAUCCGGAUUUAUUGGGUUUAAAGGGUGCGCAGGCGGGUGUUUAAGUCAGCUGUUAAAUCGUGGGGCUCAACCGCGUCCAGCCGUUGAAACUGGAGGCCUUGAGUUUACAACAGGCAGGCGGAAUUCGUGGUGUAGCGGUGAAAUGCAUAGAUAUCACGAGGAACCCCGAUUGCGAAGGCAGCCUGCCGGGGUGCGACUGACGCUGAGGCUCGAAGGUGCGGGUAUCAAACAGGAUUAGAUACCCGUGUAGUC